AUCCCAGAUAAUGAUUGUUGUGAUUAUUUGAUUCAUGAGGGGCAAAGAAUAAGGAUGGGGAGUUUGCUGAUAAUGACUUUAAAUUUAACAAAAGUUGUUCUGAUAGUACGUCUGCGAACGAAA